AUACAUUCAUAAUGGCAUCAUCCACUAAUAAAUUCAUUAAUAGAUUAACAAUGAUUCUUAAUGUUCACAUUAAAUAUUCACAUACAUAUAAUUAGACCUUGACUGUCAACGGAGUGACUCUGGGUACGAUUGAUAACACUUAGUGUCACAUUAAACCUAUCGAGUAAUGUACAGGGAGGAGCACCUCAUCCGAGGAUCCAAUCACCUUUGACUCAGGAAACCUAAAACAUGAAUUUUAAAAACGUGAGUAUAAACUCAGUGAGUGAACAUAAGAAGGGAACAAGCAUCAAUACGGGAGGUUUUACAAAUCAUGAUGCAUUUAUGUUGAAGACAAUGCAAUUUAACUCAAUUUCUUGUCACAACAGAAAUCUGUCUUUGCUGCGGUGAAAAUCAAGUGAAAACCGUUUCUCAAGUUUUAACAUUCAAAAAUCAAUGCAACCACAAUAUAAUUUCUAAAACCUCUAUAUAUAUAUAUAUAUAUAUCAUAUAUAAACAUAUAUAUAACCACUAGCCUCGCCCCCAACUUUGUCUCAGCUUAUGUGCACUACCACACGGUACAUAGCCGGGUCAGCACAGCUCAUGUGCACUCAUACACCGCACAUGGCUGGGUCAGCACAGCUCAUGUGCACUCCUACACCACACAUGGCUGGGUCAGCACAGCUCAUAUACACUCCUACACUGCACAUGGCUGGGUCAGCAUAGCUCAUGUGCACUCCUACACCGCACAUGGCUGGGUAAUAAUUAUCACACAAAAAUAUCAUUUAAUGUAUAAUAUACCUAUCAACAUAAUGUAGAAACUCAUGAAUUCAUCAUGUUCAUAUCUCAUAAUAUCAAAACAUUUCAUCAAGGGCUUAUUCCCAUGCAACUUUUAAAGAAAAACCAACAAAAUAUUUCAAGUGGCUCAAUCAAGCAUAAAAUCAUUUAUUCCAAAAUAUUUUAAUGCAAGUUCACUCACCUGGCAACAACGAGAUAUUAAGUUGCUAUUUGUUCAGAGGUGUCUCUAACUAUUUUCACUAGCCGGUCACUCGUUAUUUACUCCGGCAUGCCCCCACAAUACUCUAACUUUAUCUUUCCACUUUCUAGUAAUAAUACGAACUGUAUAUAUUUAAUUACAUAUGUAUACGAGCAGCACUUCAAUCAAUUAAUCCUUACUCAAAUUUAUAUUUUUCCUCCUAUCAUGAAACCAUCUUCAAUUAACUCACAUCUUAAUACAUUUUUACUAAAUUACUUAUAUCCAUUACUUACGUAAUUCCUUAAAUUAUAUCAUCGGCAACUUAAUUAUGAUGUCACGUGUCUACUUCAGUCUUUCUAAAUAAUUUUCACCAAAUCCCUCUUAUAUUUCCACACAUAAUCCACAUAUAUGGCAGCAACAAUCAUUCUCACUUUCACUCGAUUAUUUCCUAGUUUACACGCAUCGUUAUCUAUCUAACUUUCAAUACUUUGUUUCUCAAUCCUCCAUCCACAAUAUUCCUUUUUCAUUUCUUUCAAAUGACAUGCCAUACAAUCCUAACAAUUUUCAACUAGCUUAUGCAAGUAGAUCCUUUCAACAACCAUAAUUUCCCACAAUAUUCAACUAACCAUAGGCUUUAAAACAUAGUGCUAAGCUUAUCGUUUUCCUUUUCCACUUUGAGUCCUUCAUGUAUCCAUGGGUUUAUUGGCUUACAUGUUAUCAAUUUUUCUCCAAUCAAGCCAAUCGUUGCUGCCACAAGAGAUUUCUCUAAGUCACUAACUCAUUUUCAAAGACUACCCAAACCAAAAACAAGAAUUCUUACCGUUCCAUGCUUGAAUCACCAAAACCAAGCUUUUUUCUUCCUUUUUUUCUUUUUCUUUCUUCUUCUCCUAGAGUUUAUAUGUGCUGGAAAUUUGGGUUAGAAGUUGUAACUUUGGUGCACAAGAAGUUGGGAGAAGAAUGAAGCAAGAAGAGAAAAGAAAUGAAAAGAAAAUAAGGAAAGAAAAUGAAAGAAAAUUAGUUUUCCAUGGGAGAAUGAGAGAAUGGCAUUGGAAGCUUCAAGAAUGAAGAAGAAAA
rnacentral:lncRNA from 1 species